AUCCACGGCCAUAGGACAUCGAAAGCACUGCAUCCCGUCCGAUCUGCAAAGUUAACCGGUGUACCGCUUCGUUAGUACCACGGUGGGGGACCACGCGGGAAUCCGGAGUGCUGUGGUUA
rnacentral:rRNA from 1 species